rnacentral:rRNA from 1 species
CCUACGGGGGGCUGCAGUGGGGAAUAUUGGACAAUGGGGGGAACCCUGAUCCAGCCAUGCCGCGUGUGUGAAGAAGGCCCUCGGGGUGUAAAGCACUUUCAGUGAGGAAGAACGCCUGGUGGUUAAUACACAUCAGGAAAGACAUCACUCACAGAAGAAGCACCGGCUAACUCCGUGCCAGCAGCCGCGGUAAUACGGAGGGUGCGAGCGUUAAUCGGAAUUACUGGGCGUAAAGCGCGCGUAGGUGGCUUGAUAAGCCGGUUGUGAAAGCCCCGGGCUCAACCUGGGAACGGCAUCCGGAACUGUCAAGCUAGAGUGCAGGAGAGGAAGGUAGAAUUCCCGGUGUAGCGGUGAAAUGCGUAGAGAUCGGGAGGAAUACCAGUGGCGAAGGCGGCCUUCUGGACUGACACUGACACUGAGGUGCGAAAGCGUGGGUAGCAAACAGGAUUAGAUACCCCUGUAGUC